rnacentral:rRNA from 1 species
CAGCCGCCGCGGUAAUACGUAGGUGGCAAGCGUUGUCCGGAAUUAUUGGGCGUAGAGGGCUCGCAGGCGGUUUCUUAAGUCUGAUGUGAAAGCCCCCGGCUCAACCGGGGAGGGUCAUUGGAAACUGGGAAACUUGAGUGCAGAAGAGGAGAGUGGAAUUCCACGUGUAGCGGUGAAAUGCGUAGAGAUGUGGAGGAACACCAGUGGCGAAGGCGACUCUCUGGUCUGUAACUGACGCUGAGGAGCGAAAGCGUGGGGAGCGAACAGGAUUAGAUACCCCUGUAGUCCCUGUCUCUUAUAC